CCUACGGGAGGCAGCAGUGGGGAAUAUUGGACAAUGGGGGCAACCCUGAUCCAGUCAUGCCGCGUGUGUGAAGAAGGCCCUCGGGUUGUAAAGCACUUUCAGUGAGGAAGAACGCCUGGUGGUUAAUACCCAUCAGGAAAGACAUCACUCACAGAAGAAGCACCGGCUAACUCCGUGCCAGCAGCCGCGGUAAUACGGAGGGUGCGAGCGUUAAUCGGAAUUACUGGGCGUAAAGCGCGCGUAGGUGGCUUGAUAAGCCGGUUGUGAAAGCCCCGGGCUCAACCUGGGAACGGCAUCCGGAACUGUCAAGCUAGAGUGCAGGAGAGGAAGGUAGAAUUCCCGGUGUAGCGGUGAAAUGCGUAGAGAUCGGGAGGAAUACCAGUGGCGAAGGCGGCCUUCUGGACUGACACUGACACUGAGGUGCGAAAGCGUGGGUAGCAAACAGGAUUAGAUACCCGUGUAGUC
rnacentral:rRNA from 1 species